rnacentral:rRNA from 1 species
CCAAUAGCGUAUAUUAAAGUUGUUGCAGUUAAAAAGCUCGUAGUUGAACUGCGGGAUCAAUUGAUAUGGUCAUGCCUUGGUAUGUACUGUUCAUAUUGGUUCUCACCUUCUAAUGAACCAUAAUGUCAUUUAUUUGAUGUUAUGGUGAAUUAGGACUGUUACCUUGAAAAAAUUAGAGUGUUUAAAGCAGGCUCACGCUUGCAUACAUUAGCAUGGAAUAAUGAAAUAGGACAUCGCAUUCUAUUUUGUUGGUUUCUAGGAUCGAUGUAAUGAUUAAUAGGGAUAGUUGGGGGCAUUAGUAUUCAAUUGUCAGAGGUGAAAUUCUUGGAUUUAUUGAAGACUAACUACUGCGAAAGCAUUUGCCAAGGAUGUUUUCAUUAAUCAAGAACGAAAGUUAGGGGAUAGAAGACGAUCAGAUACCGUCGUAGUCUUAACCAUAAACUAUGCCGACUAGGGAUCGGAUGAUGUUGAUUUUUUAAUGACUCAUUCGGCACCUUACG